AACCGGAUUAGAUACCCUGGUAGUCCAUACCGUAAACGAUGAAUGCUAAGUGUUGGAGGGUUUCCGCCCUUCAGUGCUGCAGCUAACGCAUUAAGCAUUCCGCCUGGGGAGUACGGCCGCAAGGCUGAAACUCAAAGGAAUUGACGGGGGCCCGCACAAGCGGUGGAGCAUGUGGUUUAAUUCGAAGCUACGCGAAGAACCUUACCAGGUCUUGACAUACUAUGCAAAUCUAAGAGAUUAGACGUUCCCUUCGGGGACAUGGAUACAGGUGGUGCAUGGUUGUCGUCAGCUCGUGUCGUGAGAUGUUGGGUUAAGUCCCGCAACGAGCGCAACCCUUAUUGUCAGUUGCCAGCAUUAAGUUGGGCACUCUGGUGAGACUGCCGGUGACAAACCGGAGGAAGGUGGGGAUGACGUCAAAUCAUCAUGCCCCUUAUGACCUGGGCUACACACGUGCUACAAUGGAUGGUACAACGAGUUGCGAACUCGCGAGAGUAAGCUAAUCUCUUAAAGCCAUUCUCAGUUCGGAUUGUAGGCUGCAACUC
rnacentral:rRNA from 1 species